rnacentral:misc_RNA from 1 species
GAACUGCGAUAAGUAAUGUGAAUUGCAGAAUUCAGUGAAUCAUCGAGUCUUUGAACGCACAUUGCGCCCCCUGGCAUUCCGGGGGGCAUGCCUGUCCGAGCGUCAUUGCUGCCCUUCAAGCCCGGCUUGUGUGUUGGGUCGUCGUCCCCCCCGGGGGACGGGCCCGAAAGGCAGCGGCGGCACCGCGUCCGGUCCUCGAGCGUAUGGGGCUUUGUCACCCGCUCGAUUAGGGCCGGCCGGGCGCCAGCCGGCGUCUCCAACCUUCUAUUUUACCAGGUUGACCUCGGAUCAGGUAGGGAUACCCGCUGAACUUAA